UCAAGUCUACCACAGGCCAGAUCAGGCCCAUGGGCUGGACUCCGCCUGUGCCUGGGUUAAGUGAUUAAUUAAUCACAUCCCUAGAUAUAGGUAUGGUUGGUAAUUAAUUAGGGCUAAGCUCAAUUUCUGUACACUUAACUAAAUUGCAUUCAUACAGCACCAUUCUUAAUAUGUAUUAACUGGUAGGAAAGUAUCUUUUAUAUUGUUGUUUGAAAACAGUUGGGUCAUGGAUCCUUACGUCACAAGUGUACUGUCAUUCAUAUGUGCAGUUUUUGGUCCUGUGAGUGUCAUCCCAAAUGCCUUAGUAUCCCUCCAGGACCAACAUUUAUCUUUACAUAUACAUAUUCUCUUUAUCGCUCUGUUGAUGGGUUGUCACUUUAUUACUUGAUUGUUGUCAUGCAGCUAGGUUAGGCCUUUUUACCAUUAGCUAGCAUGACUACUAUAAUGCUGUACAACUUCCCCUCCUUCCCACCCAAGAUGUUCAGAAGACUUGGAUUUCUUUGCCCUUUGCGGGAAAGGUGAAGGUUCAGGAAACUCCAGAGAAGAAAAAUUGCAACAAAGAUCAUUGCAGUGUUGCUAAAGGGAUGGCCAGCUGGUAUCACAACCUGGAUGCCCUGUAAUUUGAGACCAGAAAUAAGAAUCUGAAAUUGUCUUAAAAGAAAGCUAACCAGAAAAAACUGGACCCUAAGCAGUACUCCUGUUACGUGUAUAAGAACUGAGGAGCCAGACUGAAGUUUGUCACUGUAUGCCACUUUUGAAUCAGUUUGGGGCAGACAGCACUAAGGCAACUGAGAACAGCAGGAGCUCUGGGUCUGACUUGAAGUCUGAUAACGAAGACUUGCUUGAAAGCCAGGAUUUCUUUAAAUUGCAAGAUUUUAUGUGGAUACUAAGCCCGUAAGAAAAUCAAGACAACACUGGUAAGCACACCAGCUUCCCAGGCCUGGAAAAGGGCUUUUACCCAAAUCUGCACCUGAGUAAUCACGCCAUUAAUGCCUAACAUCUAGCAAAACCUAAGGGGGAAGGAGAGGGGAAUGGAAGAGGAAGAAGAAUUUGAAUUCCUAGGAAGUGCAAGGGAGUGAAGCCUGGCAAGUCAGAAAGUACAGAAUAACUUUCAGGGCUGAGAGGGAGAAGGACAGAGGCACACCAGGAACUGGAACUGAAGAGUCUACCUGUUGCUGUCUACAGUAGAGGUUCGUGGUGGACAAGGAGGCAAUGGAAAAGAACAAGGAGAUAGAGGCAGCUUUUGGAGAUCAUAAAAGUUUCUCUGGAAAACAUAUUCCAUCAGAGCUCCUCUGUUGGACCAGUACAACAGCCUCAAGCAAGUUGAACCAGAUCAUGGCUGCAGAUUCUCAAGAAACCCACAAAUGUGACUGCGGAAGUGUUUUCUGUGAGCCUAAGUUUGAGUGCUCCAAACCUAGAGGGUUUCUGCCAUUGUUUUUCAGCCUUCGUGAGUCCUGGAGAAUGACAAGGCCUCAAGCAACCCAUGACUAUACUUUAAGGCUGAAAACUGUGUGUACUUUCUUUCUUUGGGAUGGUUUGAACCGAUAAUUUUAAACAAGUAUUUUUUCCUUUUUUAGUUGUAGUUUUACUGUGUGUACUUUUGCACAGUUUCUCACAGCAAUAAUUAUAUGCUUUUGCACUUGAACUUUGUAGAAAUUAAGUAGUUUCAUUCAACUGUAAUUUUGAAAAUAAAAAUUGCAUAAAUUCUAUAAAAGUA